ACGCUAGCGGGAGGCCUAACACAUGCGAGCCGAGCGGUAUUUGUUCUUCGGAACAGAGAGAGCGGCGUACGGGUGCGGAACACGUGUGCAACCCGCCUUUAUCUGGGGGAUAGCCUUUCGAAAGGAAGAUUAAUACCCCAUAAUAUAUUUUACGGCAUCGUGGAAUAUUGAAAACUCCGGUGGAUAGAGAUGGGCACGCGCAAGAUUAGAUAGUUGGUGAGGUAACGGCUCACCAAGUCAGUGAUCUUUAGGGGGCCUGAGAGGGUGAUCCCCCACACUGGUACUGAGACACGGACCAGACUCCUACGGGAGGCAGCAGUGAGGAAUAUUGGACAAUGGGUGCAAGCCUGAUCCAGCCAUCCCGCGUGUGUGAAGAAGGCCUUAGGGUUGUAAAGCACUUUCAGCGAGGAGGAAGGGUUCAGUGUUAAUAGCACUGAGCAUUGACGUUACUCGCAGAAUAAGCACCGGCUAACUCUGUGCCAGCAGCCGCGGUAAUACAGAGGGUGCAAGCGUUAAUCGGAAUUACUGGGCGUAAAGCGCGCGUAGGUGGUUUGUUAAGUUGGAUGUGAAAUCCCCGGGCUCAACCUGGGAACUGCAUUCAAAACUGACUGACUAGAGUAUGGUAGAGGGGUAGAAUUCCAGGUGUAGCGGUGAAAUGCGUAGAGAUCUGGAGGAAUACCGGUGGCGAAGGCGGCCCCCUGGACAAAGACUGACGCUCAGGUGCGAAAGCGUGGGGAGCAAAC
rnacentral:rRNA from 1 species